rnacentral:rRNA from 1 species
GCGGUAAUACGAAGGGUGCAAGCGUUACUCGGAAUUACUGGGCGUAAAGCGUGCGUAGGUGGUUGUUUAAGUCUGUUGUGAAAGCCCUGGGCUCAACCUGGGAAUUGCAGUGGAUACUGGGCGACUAGAGUGUGGUAGAGGGUAGUGGAAUUCCUGGUGUAGCAGUGAAAUGCGUAGAGAUCAGGAGGAACAUCCAUGGCGAAGGCAGCUACCUGGACCAACACUGACACUGAGGCACGAAAGCGUGGGGAGCAAACAGGAU